rnacentral:tmRNA from 1 species
GGGGGCGCAACGGAUUCGACGGGAUUGAAUCGUUGUGGUAAGGCGUGCCGGGUUCCGAGCUCCCGUAAAACGAUCGGAAAAACAUAACUGCCAAUCAGCAGUUUGCAUACGCUGCUUAAUUAAUUAAGUAGCCGUUCCGGGUGGAGGGCCUGCACUUCAUCUAGCGAACGUCAUCCUCGUAGGCUGGGCCUGAAGCUUCUGCUCGGAGCUGUAAGGCUGAGAUCAAUCGGGCUAAGCGGCCGCGCUCUUCGCCGGUUCUUAUGUGGCCGCCGACAACUACCGAACUGGCUACGCACGUAGUCUUUUCAUGACGGGCUUUUUCGGACGCGGGUUCAACUCCCGCCGCCUCCACCA